AGAGCCGUAGCGCAACUGGUUAGCGCACCGGCCUGUCACGUCGGAGGUUGCGGGUUCGAGUCCCGUCAGCUCUGC
rnacentral:tRNA from 3 species